rnacentral:lncRNA from 1 species
GGAAGAUCUCUGUAACAACCAUAUUCUUGAGUUCUAUUGCCACAGGGAAGAAAGAAAAAAAAAUUAAGACCUGUAAGUAUGGGGCAUUUUGUUUGACUUUUGUUUUGCAACUGUUUAAUUUUAUUGAGUUUGUCCAUGUAAUCUAUACUGAUUUGACAAGGUUCUAAUUACUUGUAUAGACAGAACCAUCUUCAUUUAUUUUACAUGAUAUACACCAAUAAUAAUUCAGGGCUCUUAGCUGCUCUACUGAACUAUAUAAAGUGGAGAAUAUACUUAGAUAUACCUUAUUUGAGAAACCUGUUCUUGGCCUUUGCAGGAAGUCUUAUAAUAGGGUAGACAUUUAGAGAAACAUCUUUUUCUUAGAAAGGCCUGCUUUAAGGAACAUUAUAUAUUACCUCAUCAACAGAAUAUUGAACAAUCCUAACAUGUGUUCUAAGUUGUAUUUGAAGUUUCUGGUUACUCAGAUUCAUCUGAUUCAGUUACUCCAUAGGUUUAUAAGAUUUAGACCUAAGGAAAUGAGAUAGCAGUGACUUCCUAACUCAGCCACUUCAAUUUCAGAAGUGUGAGGAAUGCUACAGGCAGAGUUGCCAAGUUGCUUUCAUUCUGCAGUAUAUUACAAAUUUUUAAUCUGGGCCAGGCAUAGUGGUACAUGCCUGUAAUCCCACUGGCUCUGGAGGCUGAGGCAGGAGAAUGCCAAGUUAAAGCCAGCCGCAGCAACUUAGGAGGUGCUAAGCAACUUAGGAAGAACCUAUCUCAAAAAAAAAAAAAAAAAAGAGGGUGUUGAGAGAGUCGGGAAGGUUUAAAAAUAUCUGCACCAGAAGAAUCUAAGAUGUAAAGCUUCUAUGUUACAGGAGCUUCUAGAACAAAACCAAACAAGUACCUGAAAGUUGUCUAAGGUGUUAAAGAUCAAAACUUUGAAAAGACAUCAUCUUUUAGUAUGCCAUUUAAUAAAAAUCAGGAGGCUGAUUAGACCAUAUACUUUAUAUAACUAAUAUCUUAUCUAUUUACUUUUUUGCCUUGAGAGAGUGUUGGAAUAUGAAACAAUCCAGAAGAAAGCUGAAGAAUGAUGACUUUUAAAGGAAUAGAUUUCCAGUUUAAAUGUUGUUGGGGAAAGUAAAAGAAUAAGAGCAGUGUGCUCCAUAAAUGAUACUCUACAUUGUACUAGCUAGUCAUAGCAAGUGACAAGCAUAUAGCCAGUCUUCAGUAAUUGCUCAAAGAAUAAAUUUGUUAAUAUAAGCCCAUUAAAAAAUAUAUCUCAUCCACCAUGCAUAAUGAUGCUGAAACUUGGCCACUUUAGAUUAAUUCCUCAGGAUCUUCAUGUCUUUUGUGUUUUUCAGCUGUCUUGGGUAAAGUACUUUAUCAGAUAAAGAAGUGGUUUAAAGCAUUCUCUCUCUUUGGGAGUGAGAAAUAGGAUGGUGGGAGAAGGGAAGGAAGAAGAGAAGCUGUGGUACCAGGAGAAAGACUUGAGGGACAAGGAAGAAGAGUCAGAACAAAACAUCCAACUUUGUGAAACUGAGUGGAAAAAAGGAAACAUUCUGGCUAAGGAAGAUCCAUUAUAGCCUUUGCCAAUGCUUACACUUCAUUUCACUAAGAAGGAAAAUCCCAUCAAGUACCCCCAGGAUCUGGUUGGUUAAAGUAAUGGGUAGAUUCAUUCAUGCAUAUUAGCCUAAUGAAUUUUCAUCAACCCUAAGGGAAGUAGUGUUAUCCUUUGAAUUUUAGUAAAGAAAUGAAAAGUCAUAGAAAGUCACAGAACUUAGUAGUGGAACUGAAAUUCAAACCCAAGCCUUUUACUCCAAGCCACACCUUUUUGUCACACUACAUAACUGGCUAACAUUUGGCCAUUUAGCAUAUUUGGCAGUGUGUUAGGAACUUGGCAAUAACUGUGAAUAAUUUUAGCUUAUUGGCCCUCGCUAAUAUCCUUUGGUUGUUAAAUUCUAUUGUUGAGCUAUGGUGACAAGUAUCUACAAAUCAUUGACUAAAGGUUCUCUUUGAAACCAGCCUGAAUCUGCUUUGUUUUACCUUAUUAUGAGUAAAUUCCUUUUUGAUAUCCAAAAGAUCAAAGAGAACAUGAGGUUUAAGGUCCUGCAGGUCUUGUAACAUCAACAUUCUAUGCCAUUUUAAACUUCAUAAUCCAAAUCCAGUGUCCUUAUUUUAAGAAAGCUGUAUCUUCUAGAAGGCUAACAUUCAAAUGCAGAGGGAAAAUACAGACACACUCUGGGAUUGCACUCUUGCAUUCACAUUUUGCAUAGCUUCAAGUUCAUAGAAAUUCAGAACAGCAUAAAAAUUUCUCAAGGUAUUUAAUCUUACAGGAAACACUUAUUUGUGGAUAUUCCAUCUCUUAUGAAAUAGAUUACCAAAAAGGCAAUAAUCUUUAUGUCUUGCAUUUUUGGCUUCUCUCAUUCCAGCAUUUUGUAAAUGAUCCUAAAAAAUGGCACAUUAGAUCCUUGAAGUAUAAAUGGAUAUUUUGUGAAUAUCGAUGUACACUAUUGUAUAGUACCCAAGUGUAAGUGAUUCAUAAAGCCUAUUGGCAUUUAAAAUUUUUGUUUUAGUUUUCAGAUGGACACAAUACCUUUAUUUAUUUAUUUUUAUGUGCUUCUGAAGAUCAACCCAGUGCCUCAUGUGUAGUAUUCAAGCGCUCUACCACUAAACCACAACGCCAGCCACUCUGUUGGCAUUUUUUAAAUCUCUGUACAAACCUAUAGUAAACAAGUCGACCCUAUUUCGUCUUGAAACUUUAUUUCCAGGAAUGCCCAUUAACAUCCUUGAAACUUGGGCUUUUGGGAAAAGAUUUGGAAAAUGACUCCAUUUUUAUAUUUUUGUUAUUAGAGCAUGUUUAUAAGAUUAGAAAUGACAGAUAAAAAGUUAAUACAAAAAUGACCUAUAAUUUCACCUCUUAGAAGAUUACUAUUAACAGGUUUAUACUUUUUUAACUCCUUUUAUAAGAGUUCAAAAACGUACUUUUUUCAAAAGAAACAAUAUGCAUUAAUAAAUUAUUUCAAAUUAAAAAUAAAUGUUAAUCUAACUAAAAUGACUAAAAUUUUGUGAGGAUGUGGAGCAACAAGCUCUCUUACACUCUGGAAAACCAUUUCUCAGUAUCCUACAGUUAUAAACCAGAAAUUCUACUCCUAAGUAUAUUCAAAUAGAAAUGCAUAUACCAGAACACAGACACUACAAUGUACAUAGCAACACUAUAGUAGUCCCAAAACUACAAAUAGUGCACAUGUCCAUCAGUGUUAUAAUGGAUAUAUUGUAUAUGCAUAUGAUGGAUACUUUCUGGAAUGAAUACUUCUUUAGCACCUGUCCUAUGUAUUGUGAUUGGGAGAUGCUUACCAAUACAACUGAUUUCACCCACUAAAAGCCAAUAGCAUACCAUGCCACCACCACUGACCCUAUUGUAGCAAACAAAAACAUCUGCAAACAUUUUGUCCCAUUAUAGGAAAAAAUCCUCCCCUUCCUCUACCACCAAGAACCAUUGGUAUAAAAGGAUGCUUAUGUUAUUUUCAACAAUGGGAUUCAAUGAACAUCUUGGUAUUAUUACUAUAAACCACACUUUACAGAUGGGAACACUGGGGCUGAGUUGCCCAAAGUUCCAUUACUAUGAGUAGUAAAGGUAAGAUUUGAACACAGUUCUGUUGCCUCCAUAGUUUAUGAUUAUAAUCUCCCCUCCCAACCUUCUCAAAUUUUACUACCCAGCAGGUUUUAGAGACUACUCUAAAGGGUAUGGUUAGAACAGUGGAAUAUUAGUACUUGUUGAGCGUAAAAACAAAUGUUAAAGUACCUUCACUCUGACAAGCAUCCUUCAGCUUUUUUCAGGCUUCCAAAAAGUUCUUAUAUUAGAAAAAAUUUAAAAAGCCCUUUGUGAUAAAUAUUUUAACCAAAUAGAAAACUGCAAAGAAUUUUUCAACAAAUAGCUAAUGUAAUAUCACCAUAGAUUGUAUAUUUAACUAUGUUGACGUGCCCUGAGAGCUAAUCUAAUUUAGAGGGAUAAUCAAUCCAACAUCAGGAUUGUAGAGCAUUCUGGACCAGGUAGCUCCACCCUCAUCACCAUCAGUAACACACUACUAGUCCCACCUACUCCAGAUUUCAUCUCCUCAAUGCUGGCCAGAUAUCUCAUGACAAGACAAAUAAGCAACAGAGGCAGAGUGAAAUAAAUGCAAAUUUAGUAGAGCUGUUAAUAUUGAAUACUUACUGCAUAGCAGGCAUUUAAUAUUUUUCCAUCUGUUGUCUCAAUUUAUUCCACAAAUAUUUAUUAAAUGCUUUCUGUGUGGUCAGAUGGGGCACAGGUGCAUCAUAGAUGUGUUCCCUGUCUCUCGUUUUUUCCUCUAUGAAGCACAUGGAAGAAAGACAUGAAAUAACUAGUUGCUUAAAUAAAUAAUUAGAGGGGGUUGGAGGGAGGAGACUUUCUGAAGAAAAUUCUAUUGAGCUCUAGGAAGGAGUAUGAGCUCACAUUUCCAGACUAUCAAAUAACAUUCAGAGGCAGGAUGGAGAAGGGCAUAGUCAAGAAAGUGAGAGAAGACAACUACAGCUAAAGAGAGGAAGACCCAGGCCAAAGCAAGCAGGGCCAACUCAUUCUAAAUAUUUUAGGGAUUCUUAUUUUUGCUCUCCACCUGUGGCAAAGGCAAACCAUUGAAAAAUUUUCAAGUAGUGGUAUGUCAUUAUUACAUUUGGAGUUUUCUCUUUUAUUUUCUCUAAUAUUCUCACUAAUUAUCACAUUCUUCUCCAAAACUUGCUUACUCAACUAUAUUCAUUACCAGAAGAAUAACAUAGGUCAGGAUUCUUAUUGUUUCCUCCUUAUGAACAACCAAAGACUCCUUCACAAUACAGCCCUUAGAAAUGUCUUCUCAUGGACCAAGAUUUCGGCUCAGUGGCAGAGCACUUGCCUAGCAUGCAAGAAAUGUUUGAUCCCUGGCACCACAUAAAAAUAAAUAAAAUGAAAGUAUCAUGUCCAUCUACAACUAGAUAAAUAUAUAUAUAUAUAUUUAAAAGUCUUCUCAUGAAGAUUGGGACUUCUGCUGAAACCAUGAACCAAGCCCUUGAAAGCCUAACAAAGGAUAUGUUAGCAUUGAUUCCAUUUCCAUUUUGUGCUGUGAAAUAAGAAUAGUCUUUAUGAGAAAUACCUAGUAAAUAUAAUAUGAUGAAUAAAGAAUGAUUGUUAAUAAAGUUGUAAGUAGAUAAAUUCCCAGCGAGUCUAAUAUGAAGUCGGACAACCAUCAUCAUGGGCUGUAAUUUUAAAGUCUGUUUUCCUGAAUAACUCAUCCAUCAAUUCAUUACUUUCUUAUCUUACUAGUGGUGAACUAAUCUCCAUAAUAGCUGAGCUGAUCUUUCCCAGACGGUCUCUGACAAGCAUGUUAGGACGGCUUCCCUUGACCAUGGCCAUCUGAUAUACAGAAGAGGAAAAGCUUCAAGUGUUUGGACAUUACCAUGGUUGUGAAUUUCUCUCAAGAAUUUAUCAUACUGCACAAUUCCUGCUUUUUAAUUAAGCCUUCUCCUACUUUCACUUUCAUAUUAUGUUUCUUGUUUGUUCAAUUUUCUCCAAUAACAAACUGAAAAUGAAAUUUCACAGUUGUUUUUUUUACUCCUCAGCCUCAAUUUUAUAGGCUUUAUUAAUUCCUUCAGAGUAUAAUUUAUCUGGAUUUCUAGUUUUUCUAUUCAUAAAACAAAAGGGAUUUGAAUUUGAUAUCCUCUUCCAGCUAAAUAUUUCUUUUUUUUUUUUUAUUCUUCCCAUUAUUUGGACGUAAAAAGAAUAAUUUGAGAAAUAUGACCAGUGAGUUACAUUUGCCCCUUCACAACUUGUUUUGAGAACCUUCCUUUCUGUAACUGGAUACCAAAUAUUUCAUAUUUUACCCACGUUGUUGGCUUCUGAAAGAAUGAAUACAGCCAGGCUUCUUUCAACAGCACUGAAUGAGAGCAUCCAUUGUUUACCAUUAGGGCUCAAAAUAAAAUAUUCUAGUUUAACAACUAGGAGAAAAAGAGAGACAUGUGACUAGUUCCAUUUUGUGCUUGGUUUUGAAAAUGUCAAAAAUGCCUGUGGUUGU